rnacentral:lncRNA from 13 species
CAUGACAUUGUUUUCUUUCUUUCUUUUUUUUUUAAUUAUACUUUAAGUUCUGGGGUACAUGUGUCGAUCGUGCAGGUUUGUUGCAGAGGUAUGCCCAUGCCAUGGUGGUAGUUUGCUGCAUCCAUUGCCCCAUCAUCUACAUUAGGUAUUUCUCCUAGUGUUAUCCCUCCCUAAUCCCCCACCCCCUGCCAUUCUUCCCCUAGCCCUCCACCCCGCAAGGCCCCAGUGUGUGAUGGUUCCCUCCCUGUGUCCAUGUGUUCUCAUUGUUCAACACCCACUUAUGAGUGAGAACAUGCAGUGUUUGUUUUUCUGUUCUUGUGUCAGUUUGCUGAGAAUGAUGGUUUCCAGUUUCAUCUAUGUUCCUGUAAAGGACAUGAACUCAUCCUUUUUUAUGGCCGCAUAGUAUUUGUUGGUGUAUAUGUGCCACAGUUUCUUUACCCAGCAUGACAUUGUUUUUCAAUCAACAGAUGCUAAGCACUGUGGCUGCACUUGUGCAGGGGUCUGCAGAUGGCCUUGCCACGAAACAAGAAUCCUCAGAAGCCCCCAGGAAGAUUGGGAACUACUGAGACAAUGCAGGUUUCAGGUCUCUCCUACUUUGUGAAGAUGAAGCAUGUGCUCCUGGCUUUCAUUUGCCUCUUGGCUCUGAAGUAAUUUCCAAGAGGAGGAGGAAGAAACGCCAGCUUUACAUUGCUCGAGUCAGACUGGAAGUUGACCAUUCUAGGUAAUAUCAUUAUCAUCACAACUGUGUUACCAGGCACU